rnacentral:rRNA from 1 species
UACGAAGGGGGCUAGCGUUGCUCGGAAUCACUGGGCAUAAAGCGCGCGUAGGCGGGCUUUCAAGUCGGUUGUGAAAUCCCUCAGCUCAACUGAGGAACUGCAUCCGAUACUGUUUGUCUUGAGGACGAGAGGGGAGAGUGGAACUUCUGGUGGAGCGGUGAAAUGCGUAGAUAUCAGAAGGAACGCCGGUGGCGAAAGCGACUCUCUGGCUCGUAUCUGACGCUGAUGCGCGAAAGCUUGGGUAGCAAACGGG